GGAUGUGAGGGUGAUCUGGCUGUGACAUCUGUCACCCCAUUGAUCGCCAGGGUUGAUUCGGCUGAUCUGGCUGGCUAGGCGGGUGUCCCCUUUCUCCCUCACCGCUCCAUGUGCGUCUCUCCCUAAGCUGCAUGCUUGGUCGAAGAGGACGACCUUCCCCGCUAGAGGAGGACUGGUCUUCGGUCAAGGGUAUAUGAGUAGCUGCGCUCCCCUGCUAGAACCUCGAAACAAGCUCUCAAUAGAAGUAAAAUGUAACCUAGGUAAAAUGUGUCUGUAAGCAUUAUAACUAGUUGUUAUAUUUAACUAGUUUU
rfam:Oryctolagus cuniculus unplaced genomic scaffold chrTn0072, whole genome shotgun sequence.